GAAGAGGGCAGAUUCCCUUGGACUGGAAUUACAGAUGUUGUGAGCUGCUGUGUAGUGCUGGGAAUUGAACCCAGACUGUGAGAAAGCAGCCAGUGCUUUUUAUAACCAAGCUAUUUUUCCAACCCAAGGCAUUUUUAUUAUAAAGAGCUUCAAACUUUUUCUUACAUAACUCCCAAAAUAGUAAGGGUGUACUUCUUAGUUCAUAUGACUGGUGUGUGUGUGUGUGUGUGUGUGCGCGUGCUUUGUGUUCUUUCUCAAUGUGGGGGAUUCACUCUGGGACAUCAAGCAUGCUAGGCAGGCUUUACACUGAGAUACUUUCUUACCUAUAGUGCUAUCUUUGCUGGUGAUAGAUGGUGAUACUGUAAUACUUCUACAGCUUGCUUCUAAGAAGGGUUUUGAACUUAAUAAAAAUCAAUUACAUUGUAUAGCAACAACAAACAAACUUGCAAAUAACUGGUAGUUGUGACAGUUGAUCUUCAGUUGUGACAUACUUACUUGUUCAGAUGUUGAUGUCUACCUUGGCAGGCUAUCAUUUGAGGGCUGGUGCAGAAACAACUACUUAGGUAAUACAGAUAACAGCGCAUCAGGUUCCCAGAUUCUCAAAUAACAUUUGUAUGACUGAUUCAGCCCAGCAUAUGACAGGCCAAAGAAUCCUUUGAAUUGACAAUCAUCUCUGAUGGUGCUGAAGCAAAAUAGUAUAGGGUGAUGUCAUGGGAAGAAGGCUUUUAGAAUUCUCUGUUGGAUGCUUGAAUUGAAAGUCAACUUCAUGUUUCCACUGGGAAACUUAUCCUCUGGAGACAUCUAACAAAGUCCACAGACACUUAGGUGUCACAGCCAUGAGAGGAAUCUCAUUGAUUGAAGCCAAAGAGAUUGUCAAACACAAUGCACAGGAGACCCCCCUCCGAGGGCGUUUUCCAGCCCUAAGACCAUUCAGCUAGGUUUCACGACCUCUCUCCCUUCCCCACUCAUUGGUGCUAAUAGGAAAGAUCCUCUUCCCAGUAAAGAUAGGCAGGUGGGGUGUGGUGGCUCCUGCCUUCAAUCACAGCACUCACAGGUCAGGGCCUGCCAGGACCGCAUAGUGAGACUCUUUAAAAACAAACAACAACAAAAAACAACACAAACAGAGUCAAAGUCUUUAAAAAUGUCAGGCUUAAGGUAGAGACAUAGAUAGUUCCUUGAUACCUGUAGACAAAAAUGAAGGGCCAGGGGCUUCCCUUCCUUUCCAUUCUUGUCCUUUGCUGUUUGUUUGAUUUUUUUCUUCAGCUAUGUCUUGCUAUGUAGCUCAGGCUGGCCACCAGCGUAUGCUUCUCCUGCCUCAGUAUCCUGAGUACUAGGAUUACAGAUACCUGCUACCUUACUGCACUUUUGAUAAAGGGUUUUCUUGAGCAAAACAUCCCAAAGGAGGAAAAUGGGAGGACUUAAAUGAACAGGUCCAUCUGGAGUUGUCAACUCAACAAACAAAUAGCAAAGAAUCCAGAAAGUAAGACUUACUCAUUUCUUAGGUAUUUAGCCUGGCUGGAAUGAAAAAAAAUAUUCACAAACACUACAGACUUCAGGCUUAGACUUACUAACAGCCAAGUUCCUGUAUGGUGUGUUCCUUUCUUCUUCUAACAGCUGAUGUGAAACGGCGGGGAGAAACCUGAGAGUUCCUUGUAAUUAUUUUAAAGAAAUAUUUUUCAAAGACAAGAGUAAAGCUGGUAAGCCCAAAUGAUUCACCUUCUUGGAAUAAGUUCAUUGACUUGGAGGUUUAACCUGACAGAACUGGUGUCUGGAAUCCAGGUGAGGAGGAGGUAACUGAAUUCUGGCUUUGUCUUAAGCUUUAAAAGGCACAAUCACAAGGCACUGUGAAUACAGACAGGUGGAACCAUUGUGAACUGCUGAGAUUUUGGUUACAUUCCUGGGUUUUUUCCCCAAAGACUCAGGGGCUCCAAGCUGCUUGUUCCCUCCUGCCUGCUAUAUAAGCAUCACGCAUCACCCAUAAGUGUAGAAGGAGAAGCCCUGUAUCCUGAGGAUGGAGUGGAGGGGAGAGGAGACUGCUUUCCUGUGUCACUGCACUGUAUUCAUGCAGGACUCUUAAGAGCCUGGGGUGGAGCAUGCUUCCUUUGGCCUCAGAAGGAGCUUAAAGCUAGGGCAGUCUAGAGCCUGUCUGGUCUGGUCCUUGGUUAGAAGAGCAAGAAUACCCUUACCUACGGAUUUUCACAUGGAAGGGAAGGACACACAGGAUUAACGGACUCAUAAAAGGACUGGCAUUAGUAGUGUGUCACAUAUUACUGGAAAAAUAUCUAUACAAAAGAAUUGUUUGCAAAUAUGAGUCUGGAGAUGUUUGAAAACUAGACCAUAACCCCGACAAGAUAGCAAUGAGAAAGAGGAAAUAUGUGCCAUGACUAUAUACACGCUGAAAUAGUAUGUUUAUAUCCAACCACAAUUUUAAAUUCAUCUUUGUGUAUCAAUUGCCCAAUAAUCAGAAAACACAUUUUUAUUGCUUCUGACUGUCACGAAGUAAGCAGGUAAAGCCAGAAGGACUGCCAUUCAUCUGACUGGCCACAAGAAGACAUUUGCUGACUGAGAAGUUUUCAUCCAAGCCAACAGCACCUACAAUUACAUAGCCCUGAAAUAUACUGUCCUAUUUGGAGGUUGCUUUUUUCUAUUAUAAAUCUCCAAUUCUGAAGAAAACUGCUUGUACUUUUCCGCAAGGUCGUCAUUAAGGUGUUGCAACACGAAAUGGACAGAUGCAUGCAAACCCGGGAGAAGGGCAAAGAUCUGAGAUGCUGGCAGUUCCUACACAACUGAACAUUGGCGUCGCAGGAUUAAGCAAUUGCAUUUUUAAAUUUUUCAACAAUGAAUGGAUAUGCCUCUAUACAAAAUCUUGUACAUGAAGUUUACAUAAGCUUUAUGAAUAACCAAAAAAACUGGGGACACUCCAAGUUUUUACUACCCACUGUCCUUCAAUAGAGUAAACAAAUGUGCUACAUCCAUACAAUGUAAUAUUACACAGUGGGAAGAAAUGAGCUAUCAUGAUGGUUGGUUUUAAAUGUCAACAUGCCACAAAAUAGAAUCACCCGAGUGAGGAGCCUCAGUUGAGGAAUUGCCUCUAUCAGGUUGGCCUAUGGGAGUGUUCAUGGAGGACUUUGAUUAUCUUAAUUGAUCUGGGAAGACCAAGCCACCUUGUGGUUGGAAUCUCCCUAGUAGCAGCCCAGAUUUAAAAAGAACACAGGAGAAGGAAGAUAUUUGGUAUCUCCUCACUCAACCGUUCCUGUUGCAGCUACUAAUUCCUUUGCUGAUACUAAAACCAGAUUUUCUGGACUCCCAAGGUGAACAGAGGAGCAGUGGUUCUCCAGGAUUUAUUUCAGGCUAGGACAGUUGAGGUACCCAACCUUGUGGACUGAACAACUGUUGGUCUAUCAGUUUCCUCAUUGUUGAGGCUGUAGGUUUGUGUGGCAGACAUACUUGGCCUGAUAGUUUCUUGAUAUAAUGUUAGAGUAAGAAUGGAAUUCUCUCCUCUGCACAUCUGGCUUAUUUAGAAAACAGAGGUUUCUGGGUUUGUAAAGAUUCCAGCUGGCUUCAUUUUUCAUUCUAGAACAUGACAAUACUUUAUGCAUAUGGGUACUAAUGCCCCUAGUUUCUGGUUUUAAGGACAGAGAAAGUCUGGUGGAAUAGAAACGAAACCAAAAAUCAGAUUGGUUAUUUAUUUCAAAGUUACUUUUCUUGUAAAGGGAUCAGGGAGAGGGGGUAGUGGAAACAUGACUGGUUAACAUCAGGUCACCACAGUUGGUAACAAGAUGGUGUGGGGUUAGCAAUGAGUAACAUAUGUGAGUAAUCCAUUGUCAUUCUUAACUCUGUUCUUCCAGUGGCCUUCCACAUUUUGUUUUUAACAACCUAAAGGCUGAUUUUUCCUCCUCAUUUCAGGAGAAAUGAAAGUUUAUUUUAUGGACCCUGCUAUGAGCCUGCUAUGCCAUAUGUAAGGGAGUCAGUCUGUCUCCCUGAGUUUACUAACCCUUGAGUCUGAUGAUAUCUCACUUUCUUCUGGCUGAUGUCUCCAAAGCAGUUGUCAGUGCCUAUGUGUGAAGGAGUAAUAUGCCUUCUACUAUGGCCAUGGUCUAGUCACAAGUCUCCCCAAAGUCUCCAUGUUUCCAGCUUGAAAAUCAUCUAGGAAUUAGUGCUAGCAAUGUUUGGUUUUGUUUUUAAUUUAUUUUUAAAUAACGUAUUUAUUCAUUCUUUUAAAAUUUCAUAGAAUGUAGUUUGGUCAUAUUCACACACCAUGAAAGUCCUCUAAAAUACAUCUGCACCUCUAACCCACAUAACUUUGCCUCCUCUUCCUCCUCCUCCUCCUCCUUCUCUUCUUCUUCCUCCUCCUACUGCCCAUGGAGUCCAAUUUGUUGUUGCCAAGAUAUUAUUAGGUGUGGGGCCAACUCUUGGAGCAGCAUAGUUCAAGAGAACUGACUCUCUUUCCCAGUGGCUAUCACAUGUCAAUAGCUGUUGUCUCUUUUAUGAUGGGAUUUUUGUCUGAACUAAGUUUACGUAGGACUUGUGUGUGCUGUCACAAUCUCUGUGAGUUCAUGUGUGCAACUAUCAUGUUGUAAUUGGAAAACACAUCUUCAUUGUAGUCACCCAUUGCUUCUGGUUUUUUCUUAUACUCUUUUGACCUCCUCUUCCCUGACCAUCCUUGGGAAUAGGUGUGUUAUAGAUAUGUCCUUUGGGGUUGUGCACUCUGUAGUUUCUCUGCAUGUUGAUCAGUUGUGGGUCUCUGUGUUAAUCACUGUCUACCUACGGCAAGAAGAAGCUUUUCUAUGAGUACUGAGCGAUGUGCUGGCCUAUGAGUGUAUCAAUAGGUCAUUAGAAGCCAGUUUCAGGCCAUACUACCCUGAAUAUGCCUGACAUUCCCUAUUGUUUCUUCAAUCAGUUAUAAGAUGCUUUAAAGCAUAUUUUUGUUUCCCUAAAACCUAAUGCAACAUCCAGUCACUGACAUUUUAUGUCUGAUGACCUUUUUUCUUUUCCUUAGUUGUGCUUAAAACAUAAAACAUACGUUAUGGAACUCAGUGCAACAUGACACCUUCCUUCUUCAUAAUGUCCCAGAAGAAAACAUUCUCUCCCAACCUAAAGAGAACAAUUCAAGGAUAUAAGAGAUCAGAGUUCUAGUCUUGGCUCUCUCAUUAAGUAGGUGUUGACCUUAGUCAUAUCCAUUAACACUUCUUUGGAUUCAAGUUUUGUCAUCCAUAGAAUGGUAGAAGUUAGACAUCCUUACAGUUCACACUAACUCAGCACUUGAAUCUAGGCCACCUUGUCAGACUAGGGCAAAGGAAGUGGCAGGGUAAUAGACACGAAAUUGCUCUUUUCUCUGUGUAAAGCACCUGGGCUGUUUCCAAAUGGAAAUUUCAGCAUUAGUAAUUGUGAGCAAGAGAUGCCCCAGCUAAGCCUAGUGAGACGACAGCAGCUCAGGCAUAGGACUCAGGGUAUGCAGUCCCACGUUGUGUAUAUCUGGCACCACCUCGGACUUUCACAUGAAUAGAAACGAAAGACUUCUUAGCUUUCAAAAAUAAAAUGUUUCAUAUUUAAAUUGGAUUUGUGUUUGAAUUAUUCUUAGGAACAAGGGGAAAUUAGUUAAACCUCCAAGUCAUUCUCCAACUCUCCAUCUGCUGGCUCACCCCCACGCCUCCCCAGUACCUUCUGUGCUCCUAUUCUUCCCCUGGUACCCACUGUUUACUGAUCCUCUGGCCCCUUCUCCAGGCUCUUGUGUCUGUACACGUUUGUAGGCUACAUCUACUGUUGCCUCCUAAAGCCCUUUUGGAAGAUGGACACUAUCCUUCUAAAUACUCCCCCACCUGCCUGAAUGACACUGUUAAUGCAGCAACACAGAUACUGUUAUAAUCCAGUGAGCCUCUCUGAGAGCCAAUUUCUCUUGGUUUUAUGUUUCCCAUAGUUACCAUCUGUGAGCACAUUAGCAAACCCAGAAAGGCCUAGAAGCUCUGCUUCUUGCCUACACGGGUGUGUUGUCAA